rnacentral:rRNA from 1 species
UACGGAGGGUGCGAGCGUUGUCCGGAAUCAUUGGGCGUAAAGGGCGCGUAGGUGGCCCGGUCAGCGUGCGGUGAAAGCUCGGGGCUCAACCCCGAGUCGGCCGUGCGAACUGCUGGGCUUGAGCACUGUAGAGGCAGGCGGAAUUCCGGGUGUAGCGGUGGAAUGCGUAGAGAUCCGGAAGAACACCGGUGGCGAAGGCGGCCUGCUGGGCAGUGGCUGACACUGAGGCGCGACAGCGUGGGGAGCAAACAGGG